UACGUAGGGUGCAAGCGUUGUCCGGAAUCACUGGGCUUAAAGGGCGCGUAGGCGGGUGCUCAAGUCCGUGGUGAAAUCCUCCGGCUCAACCGGAGAACUGCCUCGGAUACUGGGCGUCUCGAGUGUGGUAGGGGUAUGCGGAACUAUCGGUGGAGCGGUGAAAUGCGUUGAUAUCGAUAGGAACUCCGGUGGCGAAGGCGGCAUACUGGACCACCACUGACGCUGAUGCGCGAAAGCCAGGGGAGCAAACAGG
rnacentral:rRNA from 1 species